rnacentral:tRNA from 1 species
CCCAUCCUAGCUUAACGGUAAAGCACACGGCUGUAGCCCGUGGGAUUCCAGGUUCAAAUCCCGGGGAUGGGA